rnacentral:lncRNA from 1 species
CUCCCAGCCUUAUACUUGGGGAAAACAAAGCCCAAGGAGGGCAAGAGCUUAGUUUCAGAGGUGCCACACAGCCACGGUCCUCAUUACAAGCAAUGGAAACUGCAGUUUUUGGCAGCAUGGAGUUGUGCUCCUGUCUCGUCCAUCCCAUAAUAUCUCGCCAGGAAGAUGUCUUGGAGGAGCAGUAGGGGACAGUGGAACCGUGAGUUGAAGACCAUGUCCACAGUGGUUGGAGUCGCUCUGUUGUAUAUGGGUUGGAUGGAUGGAUGAAUAGAGCCAGUGGGAGGAAGCCCCAUCCUUGAGCAUCCCGUGCUGAGUUGGGGAUGGGGAGAUGGAUCUGUUGGCAUCAGACAAAGUGAACGUGCAAAAGUGUCGGUGGCUGGCUUCAAUAUCCACUCAGCGCAGAUGUGGGCUGCUGAAAAUUUAAAGGUGAGUUUAAUUCAUGUCUGAAGUGGAAGUUCAACAACCUCUGCCUUCGAGGUGAUGUAAAGCUCACAGCUCGCAGUGGUCUUUGGUUUUAAUUUCUUUUGAGGUUAGUUUAGUUUGCUCAGUUUAAUGAGCCUAACGGUGUUGCCCCCAGCGUGCUUCACACCACUGCCCAAGUCUAGCAAAAUCUCCUUAUGGUGAGCUCUCAGCAUUGAACUUAGUGGUUAUGUGACUGGAGAUGGUGAGCAUGCUGCAAUUCCCAUACCUUCAUCGAGGAGAAGAUGGGAUGAGGGCUUUAUUGCAUCCUUAGAGAGGUCUCUGAAGAGUAAAAGGGUUACAGUCGUCCAAAGUUGCCGCUGCUCACUGGAGAAGAUGGUUGAGCUGUAGGAAACCCCCCGGACCGAAGGCAGCCGUGGCUGUGAACUCUCUGCUUGUAUUUUAGGUGUCCUGAUUGUCUGCUGUGUGUUUCCUUUUCCUCUUAUCUCCCAAACACUCCUGCCUGCACAAAUGCUGAGUGUACAGUGAACGUAAUUUGCUGCUGCCUUGGCACUGUGUGCUGAUAUGGUUGAUAACUUGCAUUGUGCUAGCAACAGCCAUUUAAAUCCUUUCUUUAUGGCUGGAGAAACAAGGGGG